rnacentral:rRNA from 1 species
CUGCGCCACGAGUGGUGGUCGCGUUUAUUGGGCCUAAAGCAUCCGUAGCCGGCGCUGUAAGUUUUCGGUUAAAUCUGUACGCUCAACGUACAGGCUGCCGGGAAUACUGCAGCGCUAGGGAGUGGGAGAGGUAGACGGUACUCGGUAGGAAGGGGUAAAAUCCUUUGAUCUAUUGAUGACCACCUGUGGCGAAGGCGGUCUACCAGAACACGUCCGACGGUGAGGGAUGAAAGCUGGGGGAGCAAACCGGAUUAGAUACCCGAGUAGUCC